ACGCUCUUCAGAUCUGUUCUGGCGCACCUGCGAGGGGGACGCGGUCGUCAUGGCGGCGGCUGAGAAAAGGCGGCGGCUAGCGGCGGCGGGGGCCUUGGAGAGGUCCGAGGGCGCGACGAAGAGAUGGCGGAGGGCUGGCUCUGAACGGCCGGCCCGGGUGGGGGACGAGCGCCGGGUUCCGUCCAAGCACUGUUGAAGCGGGAAACCGCGGCGAC